GACGAACGCUGGCGGCGUGCUUAACACAUGCAAGUCGAACGGAAAAGCCCUGCUUUUGUGGGGUGCUCGAGUGGCGAACGGGUGAGUAACACGUGAGUAACCUGCCCUUGACUUUGGGAUAACUUCAGGAAACUGGGGCUAAUACCGGAUAGGAGCUCCUGCUGCAUGGUGGGGGUUGGAAAGUUUCGGCGGUUGGGGAUGGACUCGCGGCUUAUCAGCUUGUUGGUGGGGUAGUGGCUUACCAAGGCUUUGACGGGUAGCCGGCCUGAGAGGGUGACCGGCCACAUUGGGACUGAGAUACGGCCCAGACUCCUACGGGAGGCAGCAGUGGGGAAUAUUGCACAAUGGGCGGAAGCCUGAUGCAGCAACGCCGCGUGCGGGAUGACGGCCUUCGGGUGGGAAACCGCUUUCGCCUGUGACGAAGCGUGAGUGACGGUAAUGGUAAAGAAGCACCGGCUAACUACGUG
rnacentral:rRNA from 1 species